rnacentral:misc_RNA from 1 species
AACGCACCUUGCGCUCCUUGGUAUUCCUUGGAGCAUGCCUGUUUGAGUAUCAUGAAAUUCUCAAAGUAAACCUUUUGUUAAUUCAACUGGUCUUGCUUUGGACUUGGAGGUCUUUGCAGAUGUCACAGUCUGCUCCUCUUAAAUAUAUUAGCUGGAUCUCAGUAUACACUUGGUUCCACUCGGCGUGAUAAGUAUCACUCGCUGAGGACACUGUAAAAGGUGGCCAGGCAAUACAGAUGAACCGCUUCUAAUAGUCCAUUCACUUGGACAAUUACACUUAUGAUCUGAUCUCAAAUCAGGUAGGACUACCCGCUGAACUUAA